CAAUAGCGUAUAUUAAAGUUGUUGCAGUUAAAAAGCUCGUAGUUGGAUUUCGGGGCAGCCUGGCUGGUCCGCCGCAAGGCGAGUACUGGUCAGCCGCCCUUCCUCUCGAAAGCCCCGACUGCUCUUCGUUGCAGUGGUCGGGUAGUUCGGGACGUUUACUUUGAAAAAAUUAGAGUGUUCAAGGCAGGCCUACGCCUGAAUACAUUAGCAUGGAAUAAUGGAAGAGGACCUCGGUCCUAUUUUGUUGGUUUCCAGGGCCGAAGUAAUGAUUAAGAGGGACAGUUGGGGGCAUUCGUAUUUAAUUGUCAGAGGUGAAAUUCUCGGAUUUAUGAAAGACGAACAACUGCGAAAGCAUCUGCCAAGGAUGUUUUCAUUAA
rnacentral:rRNA from 1 species